rnacentral:rRNA from 1 species
GACGAACCUUGCUAACGUUAUUCGGAAUUACUGGGCUUAAAGGGUGCGUAGGCGGUGCGGAAAGUCGGGUGUGAAAUCCCCCAGCUCAACUGGGGAACUGCGUCCGAUACUGGAAGGCUUGAAUCCGGGAGAGGGAUGCGGAAUUCCAGGUGUAGCGGUGAAAUGCGUAGAUAUCUGGAGGAACACCGGUGGCGAAGGCGGCAUCCUGGACCGGCAUUGACGCUGAGGCGCGAAAGCCAGGGGAGCAAACGGG